UGGACAAAGAUGAUUUGGAGAAACUUCCCUAUCUAAAGGCAGUAAGAAAGGAGAGUUUUAGAUUAUACCCUCCAGCUCCACCUCUAGUGCCAAGAGAAACAAUGAAAAGCUGCAUUAUAGAGGGAUAUGAAAUCCAACCCAGAACCUUAGUUUACAUCAAUGCAUGGGGCAUUGCAAGAGAUCCUGGGUAUUGGGAAAAUCCAAUGGAAUUCUGGCCUGAAAGAUUCUUAAAUAGUGCUGUUGACAUCAAAGGUCAGGAUUUCGGGUUGAUCCCAAUUGGGUCCGGUAGAAGAAAUAGCCCCGGAAUGUCUCUAGGACUUGGAACAGUGGAGCUUGCACUUGCCAAUCUUCUUUACUCAUUCGACUGGGAAUUGCCUCGUGGGAUGAAAGCGGAAGACAUUGACUCUGAUGUUUUGUCAGAAAUUACAGUACAGAAGAAAAAUGCACUUUGUAUUGUGCCUAGAAACUACUUGUGUACUUGACUGCUCACUCACUAAUGAUUUCAGCUUUCAAAACAAUGUAAAAUAUAGAAAACUUGAUGCGUACCCUAGUAGGUUUGUUGGCAAGGCUCAUUGAGAAAUUAUGUCUCCCAGUAUUGUACUACUUUCCUUGUAUAUUACAUAUUUCUAUUCAAAAUAAAGAUUGAAUAUUAAUCUUCAAUUUCACUUAUCAGAGAAGAUUUAUCGACUUGGUAAUCCACAGCUGGAUUUAGAUUUUAUUAUUUUCUUUUUAAUCAAAAAAUUCGUAAUGGUUAGAGAUAUUCAUUGUAAUCACAUAAUUAGCUUGCUCGUGAUGUGAAAGAUUGAAUUCAAGAAGAUUGUAAUCAAACCUCGAUAUCUACAGUGCUAACAUGGAAAUCAUCAAGGCCAUCUAGAAGGCUGGAUUGGGAGGGGAGGCAUGGACACAGUAUGGAGAGUUACGUCCACAUUUUCGACCACAGCAACUAAUAUUUCUCGAGCCAGUCAGUCCUAAAGUGGCCAUAAGCAGUUCAGAACUGAGAAUAAAGUCACGAGUAACAAUGAAAAGCUGCAUUAUACAGCGAUAUGAAAUCCAGCCCAGAACCUUAGUUUACAUCAAUGCUUGGGGCAUUGCAAGAGAUCCUGAGUAUUGGGAAAAUCCAAUGGAAUUCUGGCCUGAAAGAUUCUUAAACAGUGCUGUUGAUAUCAAAGGGCAGGAUUUCGGGUUGAUCCCAUUUGGGUCUGGUAGAAGAAAUUGCCCCGGAAUGUCUCUAGGACUUGUAACAGUGGAGCUUGCACUCGCCAAUCUUCUUUACUCAUUCGACUGGGAAUUGCCUCGUCGGAUGAAAGCGGAAGACAUUGACUCUGAUGUUUUGCCAGGAAUUACAGUACACAAGAAAAACGCACUUUGUCUUGUGCCUAGAAACUACUUGGGUACUUGAAUGCUCAUGAAUGAAUGAUUUCAGCUUUCAAAACAAUGUAAAAUAUAGAAAACUUGAUGCGUACCCUAGUAGGUUUGUUGGCAAGGCUCAUUGGGAAAUUAUGUCUCCCAGUAUUGUACUACUUUCCUUGUAUUUACAUAGUUUUAUUCAAAAUAAAGAUUGAAUAUUAAUCUACAAUUUCAUGCAUUAUAGAGGGAUAUGAAAUCCAACCCAGAACCUUAGUUUACAUCAAUGCAUGGGGCAUUGCAAGAGAUCCUGGGUAUUGGGAAAAUCCAAUGGAAUUCUGGCCUGAAAGAUUCUUAAAUAGUGCUGUUGACAUCAAAGGUCAGGAUUUCGGGUUGAUCCCAAUUGGGUCCGGUAGAAG
rnacentral:lncRNA from 1 species